GACGAACCGUACGAACGUUAUUCGGAAUCAUUGGGCUUAAAGGGUGCGUAGGCGGUGCGGAAAGUUGGGUGUGAAAUCCCUCGGCUCAACCGAGGAAUUGCGCCCAAUACUACCGUGCUCGAGGGAGACAGAGGUAAGCGGAACUUAGGGUGGAGCGGUGAAAUGCGUUGAUAUCCUAAGGAACACCAGUGGUGAAAGCGGCUUACUGGGUCUCUUCUGACGCUGAGGCACGAAAGCUAGGGGAGCAAACGGG
rnacentral:rRNA from 1 species